CUUUUCUUGGAGGAAAAAAAAUCUCCAAGUCUCUCUGUGCAGCCCUAUCCUUAGCCUAAUCUCCACUGUAGCCAUCAAGCAUACAAACUGACUUUGGCACUACACUGCACUUCUCAGUACUUUAUGUUUAAUGCGCAAAUACACUGCACUUGUUAAUAUCUUGAACUGCUUGAGAAAACGUUUCAUCUGCAUCCGAUGCAAUCACAAGGAGCAUUUUACACUGACUGACUGAUGAAAUAGCAGGACUAUUUUGUAAUCUUCACAAAGCAUCACUAGAAUCUGAAAAAUCACCAGAAGGAUAUCUUGCAUUCUAAAAUUCACUCGGAACCAUUAACAUGUCUGUACAAAUCACUGGCAAAACGCUCAUGUAAGAGAAAGAAAAAAAAAACACACAUUAAAAACAACAGUUCCUAAUGUUAGCUCUGCUCGAAAUUAUUAAGAGCAGCCAGCACGACAGAGAGGACUGGCGGUGCAGAUGCUUCUCAGCCUUAGUGCAGCCAAUGGACUGCAGAUUUCCCAGCUCUCUCAGUACUUCAGCUGCUUUCAGCAACUUCACAUUCACAUUCCAGUAAUGGGAGACAGUUAAUUUGGUCCGUUGCGCUGCUUUGAAAAUUUCCACCCUUGACUUGCAAACAAACAAAAACACCAACCUUUAAGCUAAUGUCUUUCCCUGUGUGAAUAUAAUAACUUCUCCCGGUGACAGAAAUUCUGCUGUGAGUAGUGGCAAGCUUUGCUUUGUUGAAGCCUCCUGCAAACCCACAUUGUUUGAAGUCAUUACACACAGAGGAGCUGAAGCCUGGUGUUGCUCCAGCCUAUGGUGAGAAGUCAAAGCAUCAUGAGAAACACCGAGACAAGAGGCUCAACUCCAUAGCAUGACACAGCACAGACUUACUAAUUCCCCCCAGAUGUAGAGAAACCACGAGGUAUUUCUGCCCCAGCCAAACCCAGGAGAUCCCUCGGCAUCAUAAGCUUGCUCUCGGCCCAGCAGUGUGUCCUGGCUGUUGUGCAACACUGCUCUCUAUGUGACACCUGUAGCGAGUGGAGUGAGUUGCUAUCACUGGGUACUUUGUAAAGCUCUGUGGGAUGCCCGAGGUUGCCAGUGGCUGUACACAAGCAAGAGCUUAAUGUUGCUGGAACACCGCCUGCAAACGAUGGUUGCUAGGAGGAGUUUCACCGGGAUGAGAAACAUAUUGCAAAACUACUUAAAACAGUAUUUUCAGCACCUCCAGAAACUCCCUGAUGGGAUUUCAAAGUCUUUGCUCACUACAGAGAUAUUUACACCCACUCCAGUCCUCCAGAGAAGAAUCAUUUCCUCAGGUUUUGACUGUGCUCAAUAAAAAGAGUACAUGUCUUUUGUUAGUGAAAAAAAAAACAAAAAACAUCGCAAUUUCCCCAGACAAGAAGAGAGUUGCUGUGAUCCUCACCUACUGAACGCUGAUGUGGCUCUAAGCAAUGUCAUAUAGCUUAUCCACCACCAGGGAGCAUUCCCCUCAUCUGUGAAAAAAAAACAUGGUUAAUUUUUUCUUCUCCAACCAAAAACUGGUCAAGGACAACUACUUAGAAAAGCACCAAAAUGCAAUUCCUUCUCUCAAUAAAACCUUCCAAGCUACAAAUAUUUGCCCCCCUAAGAUGACUGAAGUUGUGGGGUCCUCAAAAAUUGAAUCUGCACUGCGUGGGUGGGGAAUUGAACCACAAAACUCAGCUCACCUGUGUGGGACUGAGAGCCACAGGUGUUACAAACUCCUUGCACAGUUCCCAGCCCCCUGCAGUCAUCGCUUCUGUAUGUUGCCAUGGGCUGCUCUGAAGCUCCUGUCCUUCACCUGGGGUUUGGCCAGGUGUGACAAUCAGCCAGCAGAGCCGUUAUCUUGCUAAAUCAAUAAAGUGACAAACUUCAAACAGGCCAUUAUAAAUAUUAGCAGAUCAUUGAGAAUUUUUAUGGAUGAGAACAAGGAAAGUUAAUUUUUAGUGAUCUCAGAUCCAAGGAAUCCACUUCUGGAGACAUCUAAUGUCUCAGUGACAGAAGACACAAACCUCUGCCUCUAACAGUCCAGUAUCAUGAUCCAUAUUCCUAACAGAUGAUGGAUGGAGAUGUUGCAAGCUCUUCUGGGGCUCUGGAUGCUGAGCAAAGCCUGUUGUCCUCCAAACCAAACUGCUGCCAGCCAAAGAAAAGUUAUAAGUGGCAAAGCAAAAGCUACUAAAUAAGAAUUU
ensembl:lncRNA